rnacentral:rRNA from 1 species
GGGCCAUCGAUCAAGAAAAAAAAGGAAGACACGCCAGACACUCCCUCCCUGUUCUCCUCAUACCUUCACUCUCUCCCCCAUCGCUCCCCAUUCCAUGGUGGCCCCGCCUGCUCUCCCCACUGCCUCAUCUACCCACCACGGCCUCGCCCCGUCGGCCGCCGCCUCCUCUCCCCACCAUGGCCUCGGCCCGCCGCCUUCUCUCCCCACCACGACCUCACCUUGCCGGCUUGCCGCUAACCCCGCCGUUCUUCCCUAGAUCGACUCUGUCGCCGCCGUCCACAUCUUCCAGCGCAGAUCAAGAUGCGAGCUAGAGGAGCAUCCUGGAAACGAUGCGGCAGCGGGCAUCUCGGAGCGGGCCGAGUUCCAGUUCGUCUACGUGCCCACCGUGAUAGUCGACCUCGUGCUUCGCUCCCACACCUGCUCCGAGAAGGCGCUCCUAGCUCGCCUACGUGGUCGGUUGCUCCAGGUACUUCUGGAUUCAGGCAUUCGCAACUGUGAACUCGAGUUUAACAAACGGUAUAUCACUGCUGGAUGGUGAACACACACAAUGGUGCUUUUAUUGAUAGAAAGUCAGGAUCCUUUCUCUUAAGAGGCUACUGUAAGAAAUGGUAACUUGGGGCAUGACUUGCAAGAAAGGGAUUGUAUGACAGAAUGAUAUUACUUCACGGUAGAGUUUCUGCAUCUGGAGAUCAAGUUUAUCUUGGUGUCUCA